UAGGGAAUCUUCGGCAAUGGGGGAAGCCCUGACCGAGCAACGCCGCGUGAGUGAAGAAGGUUUUCGGAUCGUAAAGCUCUGUUGUUAAGGAAGAACGAGUGUGAGAAUGGAAAGUUCAUACUGUGACGGUACUUAACCAGAAAGGGACGGCUAACUACGUGCCAGCAGCCGCGGUAAUACGUAGGUCCCGAGCGUUGUCCGGAUUUAUUGGGCGUAAAGCGAGCGCAGGCGGUUAGAUAAGUCUGAAGUUAAAGGCAGUGGCUCAACCAUUGUAGGCUUUGGAAACUGUUUAACUUGAGUGCAGAAGGGGAGAGUGGAAUUCCAUGUGUAGCGGUGAAAUGCGUAGAUAUAUGGAGGAACACCGGUGGCGAAAAGCGGCUCUCUGGUCUGUAACUGACGCUGAGGCUCGAAAGCGUGGGGAGCGAACAGGAUUAGAUACCCUGGUAGUCCACGCCGUAAACGAUGAGUGCUAGGUGUUAGGUCCUUUCCGGGACUUAGUGCCGCAGCUAACGCAUUAAGCACUCCGCCUGGGGAGUACGACCGCAAGGUUGAAACUCAAAGGAAUUGACGGGGGUCAUAGCUG
rnacentral:rRNA from 1 species